rnacentral:rRNA from 1 species
UGGGGGAUAUUGCACAAUGGGGGAAACCCUGAUGCAGCAACGCCGCGUGAAGGAAGAAGGUCUUCGGAUUGUAAACUUUUGUCUUGCGGGACGAAUAAUGACGGUACCGCAGGAGGAAGCCACGGCUAACUACGUGCCAGCAGCCGCGGUAAUACGUAGGUGGCGAGCGUUGUCCGGAAUUACUGGGUGUAAAGGGUGCGUAGGCGGAUUUGCAAGUCAGGUGUGAAAACUAUCGGCUUAACCGGUAGCCUGCACUUGAAACUGUAAGUCUUGAGUGGUGAAGAGGUAAGCGGAAUUCCUAGUGUAGCGGUGAAAUGCGUAGAUAUUAGGAGGAACACCAGUGGCGAAGGCGGCUUACUGGGCACUAACUGACGCUGAGGCACGAAAGCAUGGGGAGCAAACA